rnacentral:lncRNA from 1 species
CUUGUAAACAGAUGUAACAUGAACUUCAAUAGAUCUCAUCCAUUGGAAGUUAAACAUAAUGGAUAACACUUUUUUAAAGUACUUUUCACUGGACCGUUUGCGAACGCAAACCACAGCAUGACCAGCAUCACUUAGAGAAGCCUCCUCACGAGCCUCUCCCUUGAUCUCUGUCUCAAUUAUGAACCUCGUAGCUUCGCAAGAGCCUUUCUCAUCACUUUUGACAAUCCAAAAUGGAACCUAAAUUAAGUAUAUGAGUAAUAACCUUUGGUGUCACACAUAAGUAAGGCAAUUCCAUCGUUUAUUUCCACAUUCGGAGAUCUCUAAAACUUUGGAUUUGAUUAAUGAAAAUCUAGAGUUGUUACUUUUGGAAAUUAGGGUUAGAUUAGAAGAUGCCUGGUGCUUGGAGGAACGAUGGAAGUUGAUCAUAAAAGGAUGAAUGA